rnacentral:rRNA from 1 species
GACGAACCGUGCGAACGUUAUUCGGAAUCACUGGGCUUAAAGCGCGUGUAGGCGGCUCUGUAAGUCGGGUGUGAAAUCCCACGGCUCAACCGUGGAAGUGCACUCGAAACUACAGGGCUAGAGUCCUGGAGAGGAAGGUGGAAUGCUUGGUGUAGAGGUGAAAUUCGUAGAUAUCAAGCGGAACACCGGUGGCGAAGGCGGCCUUCUGGACAGUGACUGACGCUGAGACGCGAAAGCGUGGGGAGCAAACAGG